UCGCCUACGCCCGCAUAGCGCCACGGCCGUGCUUUCCGUUCCUGGUACCCUUCACUGCUUCAACGUCGUCGUCGUCCUCGCCGUUGUCAUCGUCGUCGUUGUCUUUGUCAUCGUCGUCACUGUUAUCGUCUUCGUUGUCAUCGUCAUACCAUUCGGAUAACACCCGCCUCCCUCUUGAGCGCCCUCUUUUGACCGAUCACUGAAGUCUAACGGACGGAGAAACAGAGAGAGGGAGAGGGAGAGAGAGAGAAAGAGAAAGAGAGUCAAGCAACAUCCAACAAUUCUACUCCGCACCUCUCUCUCUUUCUCUACACCCCACUCCACCCUCUUCGGUUCGUCGUCGACGCGACGGAGACGUCCCCUCUACCCACCGCCCUGCAUCCCCUCGUCCUCUCCAUCCGCUCUCCAUCCUUCAUCGUAUCUCUCUCCACCGCACCCUCGAUGCCUUCGCGCUAUCCUGCGCGCGCGACUACGCGUAUCGCCGACAUACCCCUCUUCCACCACCUUCUCUUCUCGUCAUGCUCUCGUCUCUCCUCUUUCUCUCUCACUCCACUAUCUCUCUCGACUGUCCCGCUCAACGGACUUGUCUAUGUUCUCUUCCUCCCGAGUCUAUGUAUAUGUCUUCGCCACGUCGGCCCCUUUCCUUCGCUCCCUCGCACCCUCGAUCGCCCUCCAAAAGGGGCGCUUAUUUUCGCCCCUUUGUUCUCACGCUCGUAACCAAACUUCUCCGCUCUUUCGCGCGCUCUCCUACUCCUCUUCUCUCGCUACGUCAUCGUAUGCUCCGUUUCAGUGCGAUAUCGUUACCCUUUCGCGGCCGAUGUCUUAUAAAUGCUACGAUUUGUUUUAUAAUGCAUGCUAUCGUUCGAUUUGACUUAGGAUGUUUUUUUAUAAAAAACAUCUUGAAUUAUUUUUCAACGUUCGAGGUUAUGUUCAAGGAAGAAGGAGUAAACACGUGGUUUCGAUAGUUUAUCACGUCCGUUUUUCUAUGUACCACGUUGUCGUCAUGCAAAAACAUAUCGAUUAACUUUAUCGCAGAUUCUUUAUUUCUAAGAUCGUUCAGAGGACACUUGUAAUUGUCGAGUAUUAUCGAAUAAUUUGUUUUCUAUUCGAGCUCGAUUCACGAUCGAUCAUUGGAUGCGUUCCGAAGGAAAUUUGAGCCGUUUUGCUCUACGCUCCGUUUCAUCGCGGAGGCAUUUAUCGUUGGAUGACUAUGAACAUUAGUCAACAGAGAAAAAGAGAGAGAGAAAAAAAGACUCAUCAAGGAUAUAUUGUAUAUAUAUAUGAAGGAUAAAUAAUAAGGUAGCAUCGAGGAAGGUGGGAAACGCAGGUGAGGAUGGUGCAGUGCGUUGUCCAGCGGGUUUCACGAGGGGUAGCCUCUGGUCUCUCCGCUGCGGAUGAAUUCCCGCAUAUCAUUUCGGUCGACUGAUAAAAAGGCUUGGAGGCUGGCUCGUCGCAAUGGACGACGAGGCGUAUACGGACAAAAAAGCCGUUGGGAGGGGAAAAGACUCGGAGGUCGGACACACAUACAUAUAAAGACAUACAUGAAGCACACAGUAGAUACAUAAGCGCAGAGAAGGCAAAAGGGGAGGGAGAGGGAGAGAGAGAAAGAGAGUGAGCGUGAGCGAGGACGAAGCGACUGAGUGGAGAGCGUAGCUCGAGCUCGGUUGCUAAGGGGUGUAGAGACGGCGAGAGAGGGACGACGCGCUUGCCGUUGGAAGACGGGGCGGAGGGGUGCAGACGUGUACGUAAACGACGUGAAUCCGGGUAAAGGGGAGCGUCACCACCAUCGCCACCGCCACUAACGCCGUCCUCGCUGCUCUGCCGUCGCGAUGAUUUGACUCUUCUGACUCUGACUCUUUCUCUUUCUCUCUUUUUCUUUCUCUCUCCCUCUCUCUUUUUCUCUCUCGUCGUUGUCGUUCGUGUCCUUCGUUUAGUUCUAGCGAGCCUCUAGCGUGCUGAUUCUAGCUUGACGCUCGUGCGCGCACUCUAAGAAACUCGAUGUGCAGUCGUAUGCGCCCACUGCCAGGGCUGUAUCAUUUUCCUUUGCCACGAGUGUUUUUUGCUCUCUUUCUCUCUCUUACUCUUUCGUGUGAAAGAAAAUAGUCAUGUUCUUUGCUUUAGUCUCUUCACUACCAAACGAGAAGAGAAGGUCUAUCUUGACGAAUGUAACGAACAGUUUCCUUUCGCAAAAAAUUCGUUAGUACGUAGAAGAUAUCUGUAUGAUUACCUAUAAACGAUAUGGCAUUUUGAAUAGAAUUAUGUAACAGAGUAUUAUGGUCAUAAUUAAUUCUUUGAAAUCUUUUUUUUCUUAUCGUAAACACGUAGGAGUGAAGUUGAAAAAACGAAAAGAAUUGGAAAUGUCGCGACAUCAACUCGUGAUCCCUGGAUCCUCGAUGUGGCCCCAAACGGUGGUAUCUAGGGAGCUUGGAGAUCCAAUGGAAGCCAAGUCGCGUAGAAGGGAUACUAGAGUAGGAGGUGGCAGUUAUGGCGCCUGCCGUUUGCGAGGAAGAAGAAGAGACGAAGAAAGAGGAGAGAGAGACCGAGUCGAAGAGUACUACACGUGUCGCGGCGGCGGGGUGUUGACCCCAAAUAGCUUUUUUAACGUGACGUAACUGAGAAAGGGUUGAGAAAUGGCCAAGUGCUUGAGCUCGACGCGAACCGAAUGACUUUUCGAAUGAACUCUAAAAGCUAAGCGUCUUUGAGAACUCUUCAUAUUUUCGAAUUAAACGAUGAUACCGAUUUACGUUGCUCGAUUAAAAAAAAAAAGAAAAUAAACAGGAAA